UGGCACAUAGCAGCCCUCAAGAUGGUAUUACGCCGUCAUGGGGUGUCGGGGGUCGGAGGUUCAAAUCCUCUCGUGCCGACCA
rnacentral:tRNA from 1 species